rnacentral:lncRNA from 1 species
GAGUAAGGCCAAUUCAAAUGUCGCUUGUCUGACUCAUCUACAGAGGAAGAAAAUCAAGGAUACAUGGGUAAAGUUUAGCAACUGAAUAAGAUUUACUGUUAGCAAACCUAAAGUACUCAUCGAGAAGGAGUACGGAGAGGCUGCUGUGUCCAGUGAGUUUUGGAAUAGGAGCAGGGUUUGCGUGCUGCCAAAUUUCUUGCCUUUUUUGGAAGUCUCAGAAGUGUCAUGUCCUCAGGGCCUCAUGGGAACAUGAGAAAGCUGUCUGAAUUAUUUGAGUGGUGUGGAAGUAUUAAAUUGGGGUAAUAUUCUUACCUAUCUUUGUAAUGAAGAUCCAAGUGUGGAUGAACUGCAUAAUCUACCAACCUUUUGACACCAUAUUGGGCGUAUCAUUUGCCCUUCAUCCUAGCAUGCAUGGAUCUGUUGACUGUCUCACCAGAUGCCUCAACCAGGAGGACCCCCUAAUCUUGGACUGCGAACCUCAAAAAUGUAAACCGCAAUAAACCUUAUUCAUUCCAAGAAGUGCCUCUCAUUUUAGCUAAAGUAACAAAGAGCCAACUGAUGCGAGAAACUUAGUUCUUCAGAGCACCUGCCCUGGAAGCAGACUGAACUGUGUGAAUUCCAGCUCCACUACUAAUCAGGCAGCAUACGUAGUGGUCAGACAUUUGAACUCCUUCUCUACCAACUGCUUGGAAUGUGUCUGUAGGCUGGGGAUAAUCAUAUCUCAUAACCCUGCUACAAAGGCUAAAUAAGUAUUUGUAAAGAACUGGGAAUAACAUCAAACACAUAGUAAUGUUACCUAUUAGUGUUUGUUUAAAAACAGUUUCUGCAGGUGUGAUCAGAAGCGUCUCUGAGUCUGUUUCCUUCUUUGUAAAAUGACUUCUCCCGCAUAGGAUUGUUGAGAAGAUCAAAUGAAGUAACACCUAUACAAUGAUUGGACUGUGGUAAGGGCUCGCUACAAAAUGCUCCUACAGUUAUUUUUUCUUUUAAGUUUCUAACAUGAUUUUUCGCUACUCCUCAAGACAAGUCCUAUGAAAAUCUUUUAAAACAUUUCUCUGCUAAAGGUCUAGCCAUUUCAAGAAAUGUGUUCUCCCUUCUUUAUGGUGUAUUUUCUCUUGCACACCUCCCUUUAUUUCCAUUUCCUUUAGGUACGCACUGACAUACUAACCGAUCCCUUCUUUAAUACAUGUAUGGUUCAAGAGACUUUCCACAACACAUUGGCUAUCAAUGCUGAUGAGUAUUUUGGCAGAGUAGUACACUGGACACAAUGUGAGCAGCAGUAUCAGAAGACCUAAACUUGCAUUCAUGGUCUAUGACCAACCCACUUGGGAAAGAUGCCUUCUCUCUGUAAAUCUCAGUUUCUUCAAACAAAAAAUCCUAUAUUGUACAUUUUUGGGAGAAGUCAUCAACACAAUAUAUCUUGUCUUAGAGGUGGUAGUAGACUG